AGCGAACGCUAGCGGCGGGCCUAACACAUGCAAGUCGAGCGCAUACCUUCGGGUAUGAGCGGCGGACGGGUGAGUAACGCGUAGGUCAUCUACCCUUUGGUGGGGGAUAACCCAGGGAAACUUGGGCUAAUACCGCACGAGGUCCACGGAUCAAAGCCUUCGGGCGCCAGAGGAUGAGCCUGCGUCGCAUUACCUAGUUGGCGGGGUAACGGCCCACCAAGGGGACGAUGCGUAGCUGGUCUGAGAGGAUGAUCAGCCACACUGGGACUGAGACACGGCCCAGACUCCUACGGGAGGCAGCAGUGGGGAAUAUUGCGCAAUGGGGGGAAACCCUGACGCAGCCACGCCGCGUGGGUGAUGAAGGCCUUCGGGUUGUAAAGCCCUGUCGGGAGGGACGAAUUCUUGACGGUACCUCCAAAGAAAGCACCGGCUAACUCCGUGCCAGCAG
rnacentral:rRNA from 1 species